UCUGGCAAAUGAGGAAGAUAAUCUUAUCCUACACACCGAAUUUUAGUUAGUGUGUGGACUACAAACUCCGCUUAUUAUCUGAUGCCAUA